CACGCCGUAAACGAUGGAUGCUAGCUGUUAUAGGUAUCGACCCCUGUAGUAGCGAAGCUAACGCGUUAAGCAUCCCGCCUGUGGANGUAAACGAAGAACCUUACCCAGGUUUGACAUCCUUGGAAUUUCUCCGAAAGGAGAGAGUGCUUUAUUGAACCAAGUGACAGGUGU
rnacentral:rRNA from 1 species